CCUGAGGGCUCCAGGGGAAGCGCUAAAUUCAGUGAGAAAGAAGGCAGUCACAUGGAAACCCGCGUGUAUCGGGCAUUACAUGUGCUUGUGCAAGCUGGCAAGUAAAACUCGGCAGUUGCUGAUAACUAUUUCAACCUACCUACACUUGUGUGUGCCUGUCAAGAAGGCAAUGUUGUUCAACAGACUUUUUUUAAGUAUUUUGGAUUCAACUAAAGACAACAGGAAAAGAACAAAUGGGUACUCCUAAAGAAAGUAUAAUGACAGAAAUGAUGAAGAUAAAAACAAUAGUGAUAAAACACAGAACAAAGAUAAAUCCAACAAAUCAAAAGCUGUCUGGGGGAGAAGGAAGCUCUAAAAAAUCAUUGGAAGUAUAGUAAUGACAUUAAAAUGUGACAAGAGCGAAGAGAGAUGCAUUCAUAAAGUGACGAAGAUCCUGACUAUAAAGGCAGAAGGCUUCACUGAAGAU
rnacentral:lncRNA from 1 species